rnacentral:pre_miRNA from 1 species
AAUGCAAUUGCUGGGUUGUGUGGUAAUUACAAGUUUAGUUUUACAAGAAACUGCCAAACUAUUUUCCAGAGUGGCUGUACCAUUUUACCUUCCCAUCAGCAAU